CCUACGGGAGACAGCAGUGAGGAAUAUUGGUCAAUGGACGCAAGUCUGAACCAGCCAUGCCGCGUGCAGGAAGACGGCUCUAUGAGUUGUAAACUGCUUUUGUACGAGGGUAAACGCAGAUACGCGUAUCUGUCUGAAAGUAUCGUACGAAUAAGGAUCGGCUAACUCCGUGCCAGCAGCCGCGGUAAUACGGAGGAUUCAAGCGUUAUCAGGAUUUAUUGGGUUUAAAGGGUGCGUAGGCGGUCGGAUAAGUUAGAGGUGAAAUCCCGAGGCUCAACUUCGGAAUUGCCUCUGAUACUGUUCGGCUAGAGAGUAGUUGCGGUAGGCGGAAUGUAUGGUGUAGCGGGGAAAUGCUUAGAGAUCAUACAGAACACCGAUUGCGAAGGCAGCUUACCAAGCUACUUCUGACGUUGAGGCACGAAAGCGUGGGGAGCAAACAGGAUUAGAUACCCGGGUAGUC
rnacentral:rRNA from 1 species